rnacentral:tRNA from 1 species
GACCCGCUAGCUCAGCUGGCAGAGCAAUUGCCUUUUAAGCAAUGGGUCUGGAGUUCGAAUCUCCAGCGGGUCACCA